GACGUAGGGCGCGAGCGUUGUCCGGAUUUAUUGGGCGUAAAGAGCUCGUAGGCGGCUUGUUGCGUCGUCCGUGAAAACCUGUGGCUCAACCACAGGCUUGCGGUCGAUACGGGCGGGCUGGAGUUCGGUAGGGGAGACUGGAAUUCCUGGUGUAGCGGUGAAAUGCGUAGAUAUCAGGAGGAACACCGGUGGUGUAGACGGCUCACUGGACCGUAACUGACGCUGAGACGCGAAAGCGUGGGUAGCAAACAGG
rnacentral:rRNA from 1 species